rnacentral:rRNA from 1 species
GAUGAACGCUGGCGGCGUGCCUAAUACAUGCAAGUCGAGCGAAUGGAUUGAGAGCUUGCUCUCAAGAAGUUAGCGGCGGACGGGUGAGUAACACGUGGGUAACCUGCCCAUAAGACUGGGAUAACUCCGGGAAACCGGGGCUAAUACCGGAUAAUAUUUUGAACUGCAUGGUUCGAAAUUGAAAGGCGGCUUCGGCUGUCACUUAUGGAUGGACCCGCGUCGCAUUAGCUAGUUGGUGAGGUAACGGCUCACCAAGGCAACGAUGCGUAGCCGACCUGAGAGGGUGAUCGGCCACACUGGGACUGAGACACGGCCCAGACUCCUACGGGAGGCAGCAGUAGGGAAUCUUCCGCAAUGGACGAAAGUCUGACGGAGCAACGCCGCGUGAGUGAUGAAGGCUUUCGGGUCGUAAAACUCUGUUGUUAGGGAAGAACAAGUGCUAGUUGAAUAAGUUGGCACCUUGACGGUACCUAACCAGAAAGCCACGGCUAACUACGUGCCAGCUGCCGCUGUAAGAC